AUACGAACCGUCCAAACGUUAUUCGGAAUCAUUGGGCUUAAAGGGUGCGUAGGCGGUGCGGUCAGUUGGGUGAGAAAUCCCUCGGCUCAACCGAGGAACUGCGUCCAAUACUGUCGUACUCGAGGGAGACAGAGGUAAGCGGAACUGAUGGUGGAGCGGUGAAAUGCGUUGAUAUCAUCAGGAACACCAGUGGCGAAGGCGGCUUACUGGGUCUCUUCUGACGCUGAGGCACGAAAGCUAGGGGAGCGAACGGGAUUAGAAACCCCAGUAGUCC
rnacentral:rRNA from 1 species